AAUAUAUUAAAAUACCUUUUUAAAAAACCUUAUACUUUUUUACCGUGCUAAAAAACUAGUCUUGAGAAGUACCUAGAAUUCUGACUUGUGGCAAGGGAUGGAGCUAUGGUGUGGACGGAGCUCUGGACGACAACGGUGGCCUUGUUUUAGAUACAGCAGUGUUUGGGGAUCAUUACAUUACGGGCUUUACGAGUCUGGUGCACCACUGCAUUCUCCUACCUGUCAGCUCGAUGCACAGUGGACACACCAUCGAUACUGAGAGAUGGUUACCUGGAAGAAUGGAGUGGUAGUAAGGACAUGGGGUGCCCACCUUUAAAUGCCAGGCAGAUUUUUUUUUCAUUUGAUUUAGUAGGAGGCAUGAAGAAACUUAAGCAGGAAGUUUCCUGAAGACUUCAAAACAAAGCCAGGUUGCUCUCUCUAGAGCAGCCCUAAUCAUAGAUCGUGGUUAGCAGUGUUGUUGGGCUGUUCUUUCCUACCCAGAAUGAUCAACAGACAUGAGAGAAAGAUACAAAAGCAUUUAGAGUCACCUGAUGAAGACGCUGGCUGGCAUCUUGCGUCAUGGAUCUGUUUUAUUUCUACUGCAGCUAGUUUCAUUACAUUUUGCAAAGGUCCCCAGGAGAACGUGAGUUAGAAAUAAGACAAGGAGCUAGGGCCAUCGUUCACUUGUCAGAGUGCUUGCUUGACAUACUUGAGGCCCUGUGUUCAAUUCCCCGUACUACGAAAGGGUGGGUGUGCUAGCCCACAUCUGCAUCCAGCACACAUCUGCAUCCAGCCCACAUCUGCAAUUCCAGCGCAAGAGGAUCAGAAGCUCAAGGUCUUGCCUGUUAUAUAGCAAGUGUGUGGUAGCCCCUGAGUCAUGAGAUGUAUGGGUGGGGCAGGGAAGAUAAAGAGGAAGGGAAAGAGGAAAAGGAAAGAAGAGAGAGAGGAAGAAAGAAAAGCAAAAGCAGGUGCUCUGGGUUUCAGUCCCAGGAGUCCCAGAAACGCUGUUUGCACAGGAGGGAGGUUCCUCUCCCUGGGCCUGCUGUAGUAGGUAGCAUCCCCAGAAACUCUAAUGGAAAUCCCUAGUUUGCUGUAGUAGUUCUCGCCUGCCAAGAGCAGUGAGGCCGAGGCAGGCCUGGGGUGAGCAUGCCCUGGUGAGGUAAUGGAGGGAACCCUGGUGCAUCCUCCUUUGGCUGGUCCCUGCGUCUCUGAAUCAGGGAUCUGGGCAGCAGGGGUGAAAGCUGGGUCACCCUUCCUGACCUCUCUGCUGAUAGGUGGUAGCUGGACCCAUCUAACUGGUCUUCCAUGGGAGCUCUAAGGAGUUGCCCACUUGACAUCUUUGAUCCAGAGACUUCUCUGUGGGGCUACAGGCGACCACAGUAAGAGCUGAGGACUCACACUGAUUGUCUGAAAUUUUUCACAUUGAGUUUCUUUUUGCUGUUGCUUCUGGGGUUCUCAUAAAUUGAUAAGCACUUUUUAAAAAAUCUGUAUGAUACUAACAAAAAAUCUGGAAGCAGUAGAACCAUGUAAGUGUGACGGCCCUGUGAUACAGUUAUUUUAAAUUAUGUUUGUAUUUUCCUAAUGUCUUCCUAAUGUUUUAGUAUGUAUUAUUUAUAAUUAUGUGCACAUAUGCUUCUUCUUGUAUAUGUUGAUGUAUGUGUGCUUGUGUUGAACAGCAUUAAAGAUUUUGAAAUAUG
ensembl:lincRNA